AGGAGGUGGCCUGGAGGAGACAGCUGGCUGCGAGGCCCAGCCUACAGUGGCUCACCUUCCCCACGGGACACAGCUCCUACUCUGGGCCUGCCUGCUGGUUGAUGAGGACUGCCCGUUGAGAAAAAGACAACCUUCCUACUACUGGGAACCAUUCAGGAUAAAAUGCAGAAAUUCGUGGGGAAACUACAAAGGCUGAAGAAAGUGGAAACAUUGCCCACGGACACUGUCCCAGUGACUUCCUUCUUAGUUGGUGUUUUAGAGCCCCUAUCCCCUCGAGCCCCAUGUGAGGGGUCAGCACACUUCCCCUCUCCUCAGCCCAGCCUAAGCAUGCCCUCAGGCGUGAGAGAGCACUGUGUACACCAGCCUCCAGUAUUCUCAAGAGGCCCUGGCUCAGACUUGCUUUAGUAUCAAGGAUUCAACGAGGUAACACAUAAGAAGCUAUAGGAAAUGUUUUAAAAUAUAUAUGCCAAACGGUAAUAAGGUUA